AGCUGGUCUGAAGGUAGUGAAUUGUUACCGUUGAUUGUCCAAGAUCAAGCUUCUUGUUCUACUCUUCCCCCCCAUUCUUGCUACUGCAUUUGGCUAGUCUAAA
ensembl:misc_RNA Y_RNA Y RNA